ACGGGUGCGCGCGCAGAUAUGGGGCUCAAAACAAAACAGUUUUGACCAUCGAUGUAUUAUAAGAGCUUUUGUAAUACAUUCAUGGUGUUGACACUCUUAUAUUACAUUCAUGAGUGAGACUGAAGAUUUUCGUGAGCACAACAUGACAAAAAGCUGUUGUGCUCCAGACUGCACAACUCAGACCAGUGAUGGGUGGAAAAUGUUCAAUAUCCCCAGAGUGAAACAUCUUCUCAGCAGCGGAGGAGAGAGUUGUGGCUGGAAGCGAUAAACAGAUGUGACUUAUGGAUCUCUGACAGAUGAAAGCCUGUGAACAUGCUAUUUGUGGUCUGUGUUUACGAGUCUGCAUACCAGUGGAGGCCAUCGCCGGACUAUAACAGCCCAGAUUUUGUACCUUCUAUUUUUAAACAUAACUUCCUCAAGACAACAUGGGAAACUGCGAGCAAAUCAAAACCAGGAAGAGAAGAUUUGGAGCAUCCUUCUUCACUCCUUCAAAGAUCAUCAAAGAUUGGAUGCCCCUGUUGUCUUCUAUACCGCGUCUCUUCAUCAUGAGGCCAAGCAGGGAAACGGCUAGAGUUAAUUUGCCAAAGUGUUUUAAGCCCCAGUUUGUGGACUGUCGGUGUAUUAUUGACUGCCCUGAAAGUUUGAUAGAGAGAACCUCCAACCUAGCACGGGCUGAAACCUGGUCACGUCACAAAAAUAAAAACACUAUUAAGUACCUAAUUGGAAUAACACCUGCAGGAGCUGUUUGCUUCUCAUCAGGCAGAUUUGGAGGCCGUGCUUCUGACAAGAUAAUGGCAUCAGAGUCUGGCGUUUUAGGAAAGCUUGAACAAUGUGGUUCUUGCUGACAGGAGGUUCCUUGCAAGAGAAGAGCUGUUAAGUGUUGCAGCAACAUUAAAAAUCCCAAGUUUGGCAAAAGAGAAGUCUCACCUGCCUAGUUUCUGCUCCUGGCGGCUGUCAAGAGACCACAUUCACACAGAACGAGUGAUCAGUCGCUUUAAAACCUCCCAGAUACUGUGAUACCCAUCAGCUUGUGUGCACUGUCUCUUCAUGUGUAAAAUGUAUCUUUGCUUUUUGCUGUUCAUUACAUCCUGUGCUUUUUAGGUUAUUUUCCAAACCAAUGCAGAUUUUCACUGAACUGCAGGACUGUUGUGGAGAUUUAUGUUUAUAUUAAAUGGUCCUGGUGAAAAUACAGAUUGUGAACCAUGCAAAGCAAUGACAAUAUGAUAUUAUGACUGAUUACUGUAAAAUGAUGCAGUUGAAAUGAUGCAAAACCUUUCCUUUUUAAAAAAAAAUUGGAAUCCUCAAUAUUUCUGUUAUUUUGAUUUGUUCACAUUAGAUUUUAUUGGCAGUUUAAAUGGUUGCCUUAUUAUUGUUCAGGUGUAAUUUACAGUCACUUCAA